rnacentral:rRNA from 1 species
UACGUAGGGUGCGAGCGUUAAUCGGAAUUACUGGGCGUAAAGCGCGCGUAGGCGGCUUUGCAAGUCGAGUGUGAAAUCCCCAGGCUCAACCUGGGAACUGCAUUCGAGACUGCAUAGCUAGAGUAUGGGAGAGGGAAGUGGAAUUUCAGGUGUAGCGGUGAAAUGCGUAGAUAUCUGAAGGAACAUCAGUGGCGAAGGCGACUUCCUGGACCAAUACUGACGCUCAUGUGCGAAAGCGUGGGGAGCAAACAGG